UCCCGGCCCACUAGCUCAACGCCCAGCCCGCACACGCCGGGGGUCUGCGGCCCCCAGCCCUCCAGACGGUCGGUCCCCGGUCUUUGAUGUGCGCCCCCUGCCGCCUCAGUGGUACAACCCGCCGCCCCCGCCCCCGCAGGGCCAGUCCCACCGCCCCCGCGCGGCCACCCCCACUCCGUCCCGGAAAGGGGGGGCUCAAGGACCACGGUCCCCGCCCGGCGGACGCCGGUGGUACGGCCCAGGGCGGCUUUGCGGGGGAUGGUGGGGGGUCCGGACGCGACCAUCGCGGAGGGGGGGCGCGCUCGGGGACACGCGCUGGCGCACUCACCUGUCACCGCCGGCCGCCCAGCCUCGCAGGCGGGGUUCUCCUCCUGCCCAUCGCCACGCUGCGCUUGAUCCCCCUCCUUACGUUUCCUGGAGGCGGCGGCGGCGGCGGCAGCAGCGGUGGCAACGCCUUCGCGGAGCCAGGCCCAACGGCUCGCGCGGCGCGGCCCCCCCGCCCCCUCCCCCCAGCCCCCGCUUACCGCCCCCUCCCACCCUCUGGACGGAAAUACCGCCUUCUCCCGCCACAAACAGGAACUGACGUAAGGCAGGGAGCGAGGGACCCCCAAGGAGCGCUAGGGCGCAAGCGCAAGGUGGCGGAGGUGGCGGCUCAAGAGAAAGGCGCCUGCGUACAGUCGGCAAGCUUGAGUCGGCGUGGGCCUGAGAUGUGCCUCGCGCAGGCGCCAGAGGGGAAAAAUUAAAAAAAGAAUUGCGCAGGCUCAGUAGGCCUCUGACGACUGCUGUCCCUAGAGGCUGGCAGGCGGCUGUGAUAUUGCCCGGCAUCCCCUGGUCCUUAUUUACAUACGCUUUGAUCUGGCUUUACUCCUUCCUCGUCUGUAGUCCAGGUUCCUAAGCUCUUAAAGAGCCCGGGAGCGGACGUUAGGCAGGGUUUCCUGUUCAGUACCUCUCCUCAUGGUUGAGCACAGGCUCUGAAGCAGCACAAGCCCAGCUUUGCAUUUCCUUGCUGGUGGCUGUGGGCAGNNNNNNNNACCGUUCUCUGUGCCUCAGUAGCCACAGAUGCAAAAUGGAAACAAUCAUAGUUGCGUCACUGGGCUACUGGACUGUUUUACGUAAACAGAAUGGUUUAUAUAAGUUAAUACAUGCUAUGACUCCAAAAUAUUAUUCCUGUCUGCCCAUCAUAUACAUCCAAUGAAAUAUGGGAAUGUAACUUUUUUACGGGGUAACUUGGGCCUCCAAAGGAAAUCGCCCUGUAAAAAUAAAACUGCACAGAUCCUGGCCCUUUUAUUAACUAGAGUAGUAGACAGCCGUGACACAUCUGGCACCCCGGUCCCUGCUCUCUCAUAGGCUGGGUAGGGCUUCCUACCUUCUGAAUUUGGGUUCCAGAAAAGUUAUGACCAAACUAGAUAGUAUAUUCAAAAGCAGAGACAUUA
rnacentral:lncRNA from 1 species